rnacentral:lncRNA from 9 species
GGGUAUGACGUCACAGACGGUCCUGUUCUGAGGUCUCCAGGAGUUCAAGGCUGUUCUGGCUGAAGGAUUUCAGUUGUUUUACUUCUCUCCUUGGGUACACAGACCAUGGCAAAGAAGAGAGGAGCGGAGACCCUCUUGUUUCUUCUCUUCCUGGAUUAUUGGCAAGGUGCAGAGCUCCACCCUUUGCACCUCAUCAAAGGUUCAAGUACUGAAUUUUCAUCAAGUUCAAACUAUAUGGACAAAGGUUUGGCUAAACUCUUUGGUUAUCCUCAACAGAAGAGCUCGAGAGAUGCCAAAUUUACAUUGAGUUCAAGUAAGCAAGAAGAACAUUUGGCUAGAUUAUUUGAUGAAAUUCUACUGCAAGUGUUUUCCAAAGUUCCAUAUGAUGCACCAUUUGAUGAAACAAGACAAACAGUGGACAAAUCAGUUACGAAGAGAACCAUGAAAGAAAGUCACAUUGCAGAGGAGAAGAGGGAGAAAGAAUCUUCUCUAUUCAACAGGGAUGUAAGUGAUGAGCCGUUAACUACCACAGAUAAAGGAGCACUCCAAGAAGCAAGCAGUCCAAGUGUUCCGAAUAGGACUAUGCCAUGUGCACAGCUUCUGCAGUUCCUUCAGAGGAACAUCAUUAGUGCUUCUGCCGCGGUGGCGGGAAUCCUCGUGGCCACAGUGUUGCUGCUGCUGGUGUUGAUCACAUACAUCCGGAGGAAACAGCUAUUAUAUCCUCCAGAAAACAUGACCUAUAAUAUUUUUAUAAUGAAUGGAAAGACUUGGUGGCAAAAGUCUCAAGAAAAGAAGACCAGAAAACACACGGGGAAACAGAAACAGCUGAAGUUAAAUUCCAGUGUCUAAACCAGGUGGGCGGCCAGCCAACUGGCACUUAAAGCUGUGAGGUGAGACGAUCUCCAUCCUGACACCGUGGAGAGGCCAUUGGCUUCCUGGCUGCAUGUGAGGUGCACCCUCCAAAACGUUUACCUCUUCCUCUCAAUUUUGAAUGGACCAAGAAAACAAUGUUUGCUCA